UUUGUUCAUCACGUUUGGCUAAGAAAACCCCCAGAAAAUUCAGUCAUUACAACGGCAAACUUUUUUUUCCAAAUUAACUCCAUAAUAUCGACAGAAACAUGGCAAACGUUGUUUAGAAUCCAUCCUCAAGGUGUUUUUCACAUAUCUAUUCGAUGAUAAAUCAUUCGAGGCAGUUUGGUUUCUCCUCUGAAGCAAAUGGAAAAAUACACGCAGCUGGAGAUUACGCAAUAAUUUCGAAGGAGGACACCAAGCGAGCACCUGGUAAAUGUAGUCUCUUAUGGUCAAUCUUCCAAUGAUAUACCUACAAAUACGUCACAAUGCUGCAGACACCUUGGGGAAACGACAGAAAGUGUAGGCUCAUUCCUUGCGCAUUCACAGCCAUAUAAGGAGACAUUGGAACAAAGCGCAUUCAAAAUCUGGGGCAUUUCCUGUUUGAAAUUUCAUCUUGGCUUCACCUGUAGCAUCAGUUCUGUGGCACUCACAGAUAAUAUCUUUGCAGUUUUGGAAACGUCAGAGUGUUUUCUUUCCAAAGCUGUCAAUUAUAUGCAUAGUCGAGCAUCUUUUCGUGACAAAAUAUCUUGUUUAAAACGGGAACGUUUUUGUAUCCAAAAAUUAAAAGAGCGCCCCCUAUAUCGAAGAAGUUAACUAAGUCAUAGGCCCACCCCAAGAGCACAGACAUUGAACUGGCGUCAUGGGACAGCCCUUUCCUACUGUUCUGGAUAUAACCCCACCUUGGGAAUUUCCCUUCAGACCAAGCUACCUCGAUUACCGAGAGGGCUAAGGUUUGAGUAGAGACCAUGCAUUCCUUGUUGCUGAAUUCUUAACCAUACCACAUGGUUAAACUCUGAGACUAUCGAUACCGACAGAAUAAGAGCAACUCUUUGAUACUAAUUAAUUGUCUGCAGCUAGGAAUUCUGUACCAUUGAAUGCGAAGACCUACAACCGCCGAAACAUCUAUCUAUAAGAACAUUUCUGAAUGUUACUCUGAAGUAUCUAUUCUAACCAAAGACUCCAGGGACGCAGAGAAUCUCGGAUGAACUCUCCAACAGAAAAGGACGAUUCCAACAGAGACCACGACGACACGCUGGGACCCCCAGGUAGACCAUGGCCAGAGCUGAGCUGAUACUGAAUGGGGAGAUGAAGAUAUUCCCUGUGUUGGUCUGACCCAGAGUGUGGUACAGCUCCAAGGCAAAGGCUGUGUUAGAGCUGCUGAGAGAUGCCAUGGCUGAUGACUGGUCUGCCGGAGAACGGACGAAAGCAAUAUUUGACAUAUGCAGUGGUGUAAAAGUACUUAGGUAAAAAUACUUUAAAAUACCCCAAAAAACUACAUAAGAAGUAUCUGUACUUCACUAUUUACAUUUUUGACUACUUUUACAUUCCUUAAGAAAAUAGGGUACUUUUUUACUCCAUACAUUUUCCCUGGCACCCAAAGGUACUCAUUACAUUUUGAAUGCUUAGCAGGACAGGGAAAUAAUCUAAUUCACACACUUAUCAACAAAACAUUCCUGGUCAUCCCUACUGCCUCUGUUCUGACGGACUCACUUAACACAUGAUUCAUUUAUAAAUUAUGUCUGAAUGUUGGAGUGUGCCCAUGGCUAUCAGUAAAUAAAUAAAAAAACAACUAAAUGGU